AACCCUAUGGUACGUUUCAACUUGAAACAUGUUUAAUGGAAAUUAAGGACGUUGACAGUAAAGUAAAAAAUGCUAAAUCUUGUGACGGUUCUUUAGGAUUAUUGCUGGUCCGAAUAAGUAUGAACGAGGGAUACAUUAUGGUUUAUGGUACAUCCUGGGACCUAACAACAUAGAACAAUUAUUUAGCAACGCGAAGAAACAAUAUGAGAUAAUUGACAAUCGCAAAAAGUAAUGAGAUAAAUUCAUUAAUGAUGAUUAUACACCGUAGCAUAUCUGUUGUAGGUAAUAUUUCAACAUUACAUGUAUCGCAUAAUAACGAAAUUCAUCGUGGCGCCACGGCCAAACCUUGUAAAACUGGCAUGUCAUUCAACGUCUUAACACUUUACCGAUCGAUAGCCGAUUAAUCGGUUUUUUGUCACCAACGAUUACCGACCGAUAGCCUAUUAAUCGGCUUUUUGUCGCCGACAAUCUUUUUCAUUAUUUGAGCAGUAAUUUGUUAUUUAAUACUAAGGUACCUUACUCAGUCGCGUCAGUUGCAUUACUUUGUAAGCUCCCACCGUUUUAUACCAAUUUGAAAAACGUACCGUUCGCAAUGAACAAAAAGAAUGGUAUCGGAGACUGUAAACCGAAACAGAGCCAGCGCCAGG